rnacentral:rRNA from 1 species
UACGUAGGGGGCAAGCGUUAUCCGGAUUUACUGGGUGUAAAGGGAGCGUAGACGGUACGCCAAGUCUGAAGUGAAAUGCCGCAGCUUAACUGCGGAACUGCUUUGGAAACUGGCGGGCUAGAGUGCGGGAGGGGUAAGCGGAAUUCCUAGUGUAGCGGUGAAAUGCGUAGAUAUUAGGAGGAACACCAGUGGCGAAGGCGACUUACUGGACUGUAACUGACGCUGAGGCAUGAGAGCAUGGGGAGCAAACAGG